GAUCCAUAUAAAAGUACAUCAUGUAUGUUUUGUGGUUUUGUACUCAAAAGUACAUCAUGUAUGUUUUGUGGUGGUGUGUGGUGGUGUGUGGAGGUGGUGUGGAGGUGGUGUAGUGGUGUGUGGAGGUGUGUGGUGGGGUGUGGAGGUGGUGUAGGGGUGUGUGGAGGUGUGUAGUGGUGUGUGGAGGUGGUGUAGUGGUGUGUGGAGGUGGUGUAGUGGGGUGUGGAGGCGUGUGGAGGUGGUGUAGUGGGGUGUGGAGGUGUGUGGAGGUGGUGUAGUGGUGUGUGGAGGUGUGUAGUGGUGUGUGGAGGUGGUGUAGUGGUGUGUGGAGGUGGUGUAGUGGGGUGUGGAGGCGUGUGGAGGUGUUGUAGUGGUGUGUGGAGGCGUGUGGAGGUGGUGUAGUGGUGUGUGGAGGUGUGUGGAGGUGGUGUAGUGGUGUGUGGAGGUGUGUAGUGGUGUGUGGAGGCGUGUGGAGGUGGUGUAGUGGGGUGUGGAGGUGGUGUAGUGGUGUGUGGAGGUGGUGUAGUGGGGUGUGGAGGUGGUGUAGUGGGGUGUGGAGGUGUGUAGUGGUGUGUGGAGGUGGUGUAGUGGUGUGUGGAGGUGGUGUAGUGGUGUGUGGAGGUGUGUAGUGGUGUGUGGAGGUGGUGUAGUGGGGUGUGGAGGUGUGUGGAGGUGGUGUAGUGGUGUGUGGAGGUGUGUAGUGGUGUGUGGAGGUGGUGUAGUGGUGUGUGGUGGGGUGUGGAGGUGGUGUAGUGGUGUGUGGAGGUGUGUGGUGGGGUGUGGAGGUGGUGUAGUGGUGUGUGGAGGUGGUGUAGUGGGGUUUGGAGGCGUGUGGAGGUGGUGUAGUGGUGUGUGGAGGCGUGUGGAGGUGGUGUAGUGGUGUGUGGAGGUGGUGUAGUGGGGUGUGGAGGUGUGUGGUGGGGUGUGGAGGUGGUGUAGUGGUGUGUGGAGG
ensembl:lncRNA